rnacentral:rRNA from 1 species
CCUACGGGAGGCAGCAGUCGAGAAUCAUUCACAAUGGGGGAAACCCUGAUGGUGCGACGCCGCGUGGGGGAAUGAAGGUCUUCGGAUUGUAAAUUCCUGUCAUGUGGGAGCAAAUUAAAAAGAUAGUACCACAAGAGGAAGAGACGGCUAACUCUGUGCCAGCAGCCGGGGCAAUACAGAGGUGUCAUCCGUUGUUCGGAAUCAUGGGUCGUAAAGCGUGCGUAGGCUGUUUGGUAAGUCGUGUGUGAAAGUCCCCGGCUCAACCCGCGGACUGCACAUGAUACUGCGAGACUAGAAUGAGGGUGGGGUAACCGGAAUGCGCGGUGUAGCAGUGAAAUGCAUAGAUAUCG